UACAGAGGUCUCAAGCGUUGUUCGGAUUCAUUGGGCGUAAAGGGUGCGUAGGCGGCGCGGUAAGUCGGGUGUGAAAUCUCGGAGCUUAACUCCGAAACUGCAUUCGAUACUGCCGUGCUUGAGGACUGGAGAGGAGACUGGAAUUUACGGUGUAGCGGUGAAAUGCGUAGAUAUCGUAAGGAAGACCAGUGGCGAAGGCGGGUCUCUGGACAGUUCCUGACGCUGAGGCAUGAAAGCGUGGGGAGCAAACAGG
rnacentral:rRNA from 1 species